rnacentral:lncRNA from 1 species
AUUUGAACCAGGUGCUGAGAGCUGUCUGGCGUCUCCUGGCUGCUGUAUUAACCACGAACAUGCACAAGAGGAUUCCGAGGCAGUAAAAUGGAGCGGGACCAAUGGCAAUGACCAGGGCUGAGCGCGGCAGCUGUGGCGAUGAACAUUCAAAUCACACCCACGCGGUCGGGCCCAGGGCCCCCAGCCCCUGUAAGGCGCAUUUCCGGAGGGCCGGGGAGCCCAGGGAAUUUGGCUGCCUUCACUCAGAGGGUAAAGCUUCCCAUGCAAAUCAAACCACUGGACUUGCUUCCCAGGCCUGCUUCAGAGCUCUGGUUCGUUCCAUUUGCAUCCCGAGGGCAGGACUUGGCUUGCCAAAGCACAGCCCGACACAGCAGUUAGUCAAGGGCCUAGAAGGCUGUCACUCACAGGCAAGUAAUGUCUACCUGUGCCAUCGUAGAAACGGACUUCUAACAUUGUUUUUCAAAGGUCUCCACUUCUCUCAAAGUCUGGCAAAUGUUGGAACUUUCCUGUUCUACGUAGGAGCCUGCAUGCCCCAUGUCUCUCCUUUGCUAAUGCUUUGGGAACACACCUUGCUUCAGAGGACAUGGCAGGCUGGAGUAUUAACUGGAGCUGUGACAGAGCAGGCUUUCAAUACAGUGUGGACUGUGCCAUCACCUAUGCUCACAACAUUUUUAAUGAGAAAUAACAAAACGACUCCAGGU